AAAAACAGCAUAAGAAAACCACUUUCUGGCAAUAAGUUACUGUUUUUUGGUAUCUGGAAAAUGAGCCGUUU